CCUACGGGAGGCAGCAGUGGGGAAUAUUGCACAAUGGGGGAAACCCUGAUGCAGCGACGCCGCGGGAGUGAAGAAGUAUUUCGGUACGUAAAGCUCUAUCAGCAGGGAAGAAAAUGACGGUACCUGACUAAGAAGCCCCGGCUAACUACGUGCCAGCAGCCGCGGUAAUACGUAGGGGGCAAGCGUUAUCCGGAUUUACUGGGUGUAAAGGGAGCGUAGACGGCAGUGCAAGUCUGGAGUGAAAUCCCAUGGCUUAACCAUGGAACUGCUUUGGAAACUGUGCAGCUAGAGUGCAGGAGAGGUAAGCGGAAUUCCUAGUGUAGCGGUGAAAUGCGUAGAUAUUAGGAGGAACACCAGUGGCGAAGGCGGCUUACUGGACUGUAACUGACGUUGAGGCUCGAAAGCGUGGGGAGCAAACAGGAUUAGAUACCCGAGUAGUC
rnacentral:rRNA from 1 species